AGUGUCUUGUGCAUGGAGUCUAGGAGGAGCCACAGUAGGUGGUCCAACGUUUGGAAUGGGUACGACUUCUGUAGCGGAAGGUGAAGGAGGAGAUAUAGACUCCCUAAUGGCCGGUAUAGGUAAAACUUCAGAUAUAGCCAGAUGGUACCUACGAAUAUCAGGUGAAUAACAAUGAUAGCCCUUCUGAACACGAGAAUAACCAAGGA
rnacentral:lncRNA from 1 species